UUGAGUGUCAUAGCCUAUUUCUACUGACCAUCGAUGGAUCCAAGGGAUAGAGAAUUCUAUGUAGAAAUACAUCUGAUCAAUAGUAUCGAUCUUACAAAUAUGAUCUGAAAGAUAUAAUUCUGUUAAGAAAGGGGAGGAUUUUUUCCAUGAAUAGUACAGAGAAGAAUAUUCUGGAGGUAAUAUUUUGACUGUAGGUCCAUGUUGAGUCCACCAUUGAAUAAACCAAUUUGGAAUAGGCUUUUCAAAUACUUUAGCACAAAUUUUUAUAAACCAAGUGUGUUUGUGCUUAUAAUUAUUAUAAUAUAAU
rnacentral:lncRNA from 1 species